rnacentral:rRNA from 1 species
GUGGGGAAUAUUGGGCAAUGGGGGCAACCCUGACCCAGCGACGCCGCGUGGGGGAAGACGGCCUUCGGGUUGUAAACCUCUUUUGUACGGGAAGAAGGAAGUGACGGUACUGUACGAAUAAGUCCCGGCUAACUACGUGCCAGCAGCCGCGGUAAUACGUAGGGGACGAGCGUUGUCCGGAAUUACUGGGCGUAAAGGGCGCGCAGGCUGUGCUGCAAGUCAGCUGUUAAAUGUCUGGGCUUAACCCGGGCAUGCGGUUGAGACUGCGGUGCUGGAGUGCUGUAGAGGCAAGUGGAAUUCCCAGUGUAGCGGUGAAAUGCGUAGAUAUUGGGAAGAACACCGGUGGCGAAGGCGACUUGCUGGGCAGCAACUGACGCUGAGGCGCGAAAGCCAGGGGAGCAAACGGGAUUAGAAACCCGAGUAGUCC